CGGUGACGUCACAGCACUGCGCCGCAAAGCUGAUCCUGGAAGCCGAUGUCAGCCGGACGCGCGGCGCACAGCGGGCUGGGGCUUGUCUGACUAUGGCUUGGAACCUGUGGUCCAGAUUUGGAGAGACCUCUCGGAGGAUUUCCAGAGGCUGAGAAGUUUGAGGUCAAGAGACUGAAUCUGUUAAGAUCAGCAUGUCCCAGAUUGUGGUGUUCCUUUGUCUUGUGUCCCAGAAUGAAGAAGAUGUGGAGUAAAGGUACAGCCAACCUGGGAAGGACAUGUAAUGGGAGCAGGAAAUAAAUCUUUGUUGUAAAUUGUUGAGACUUUGGGAUUAUUUUUUAUUGCAGCAAAAGCUAACAGAAGUUCCUAAUAUAAGACAUAUCAAAUAUAUAGGUAUAUAUAUUUUGUAUGUACCUUUAAAUAUUGUAUUAUAUAUAACCUAGAAAGUAUAUUAAUGUAUGUCUAAAUACGAUAUAGUAACAUCUUUUGAACAAUAAUGUAUAAGUACAUUUUCUGCAACUCGAAACACAAUUUUUGCUGUUUAUUAUUAUAAGAAUUUAUAGCUGUGUCUUUGCUUUUUUGAUGCAUUUUGCAGACAGUCAUGAUUCGUUUGAUGCCAAGAUUUUGGUCAAAAAGUUUCCCUAUUACAGCUCUGUUUUUCUGAGGAAAUCCCGUUGCUCUAUGCCUAUCAGCUUUGGGACAUAGUUCCAGAAAUAUAUUAAUAUAAAAAAAGACAUUUUUUUUCUUGUUUGCAAUAUUCAAGUUCUGAUUAUAUUGGUCAUCAUAACAGUUAAAAAUAACUGAUAGGACAGGCACGGUGGCUCACGCCUGUAAUC